rnacentral:rRNA from 1 species
UACAGAGGGUGCGAGCGUUAAUCGGAAUUACUGGGCGUAAAGAGCGCGCAGGCGGUUGAUUAAGUCGAAUGUGAAAGCCCCCGGCUCAACUGGGGAGGGUCAUUCGAUACUGAUUGACUUGAAGGCAGGAGAGAGAAGUGGAAUUCCCGGUGUAGUGGUGAAAUGCGUAGAUAUCGGGAGGAACACCAGUGGCGCAAGCGGCUGACUGGCCGAGACCUGACGCUGAGGCGCGACGGCGUGGGGAGCAAACCGG